AACAAACUUGUGGAUAUACAGUCGAACCCGGAUAUGUCGAAUCUGAAGGGGAUCACAAAAACGUUUGAUGUAUAGGUAAUUCAAUAUAAGAAAUAAAAAUUUCAUACAAAAAUUAUCAGUGGGUUUUACUGCUGUUCGUUAUACACAAUAAUUCGUUAUAUGUG
rnacentral:lncRNA from 1 species